rnacentral:rRNA from 1 species
CACGUAGGGGGCGAGCGUUGUCCGGAUUUAUUGGGCGUAAAGAGCGUGUAGGCGGCUCGAUAAGUCUGCUGUGAAAGUCCAGGGCUCAACCCUGGAAGGCCGGUGGAAACUGUCGGGCUAGAGUCCGGAAGAGGCGAGUGGAAUUCCCGGUGUAGCGGUGAAAUGCGCAGAUAUCGGGAGGAACACCAAUGGCGAAGGCAGCUCGCUGGGACGGUACUGACGCUGAGACGCGAAAGCGUGGGGAGCGAACAGG